rnacentral:rRNA from 1 species
AGUGAACGCUGGCGGUAGGCCUAACACAUGCAAGUCGAACGGCAGCACAGUAAGAGCUUGCUCUUACGGGUGGCGAGUGGCGGACGGGUGAGGAAUACAUCGGAAUCUACUUUUUCGUGGGGGAUAACGUAGGGAAACUUACGCUAAUACCGCAUACGACCUACGGGUGAAAGCAGGGGAUCUUCGGACCUUGCGCGAUUGAAUGAGCCGAUGUCGGAUUAGCUAGUUGGCGGGGUAAAGGCCCACCAAGGCGACGAUCCGUAGCUGGUCUGAGAGGAUGAUCAGCCACACUGGAACUGAGCCACGGUCAAGACUCCUACGGGAGGCAGCAGUGGGGAAUAUUGGACAAUGGGCGCAAGCCUGAUCCAGCCAUACCGCGUGGGUGAAGAAGGCCUUCGGGUUGUAAAGCCCUUUUGUUGGGAAAGAAAAGCAGCAGGUUAAUACCACGCUGUUCUGACGGUACCCAAAGAAUAAGCACCGGCUAACUUCGUG